CCUACGGGUGGCAGCAGUGAGGAAUAUUGGUCAAUGGACGAGAGUCUGAACCAGCCAAGUAGCGUGAAGGAUGACUGCCCUAUGGGUUGUAAACUUCUUUUAUAUGGGAAUAAAGUGUUCCACGUGUGGGAUUUUGUAUGUACCAUAUGAAUAAGGAUCGGCUAACUCCGUGCCAGCAGCCGCGGUAAUACGGAGGAUCCGAGCGUUCUCCGGAUUUAUUGGGUUUAAAGGGAGCGUAGGUGGAUUGUUAAGUCAGUUGUGAAAGUUUGCGGCUCAACCGUAAAAUUGCAGUUGAAACUGGCAGUCUUGAGUACAGUAGAGGUGGGCGGAAGUCGUGGUGUAGCGGUGAAAUGCUUAGAUAUCACGAAGAACUCCGAUUGCGAAGGCAGUUCACUGGACUGCAACUGACACUGAGGCUCGAAAGUGUGGGUAUCAAACAGGAUUAGAGACCCGAGUAGUC
rnacentral:rRNA from 1 species